CCUUGAAGAUCGGAGUGCUUGCACUCUGUGAAACAAGAUACAGGCUAGCGGCGGACGGGUGAGUAACACGUGGGUAACCUGCCCAAGAGAUCGGGAUAACACCUGGAAACAGAUGCUAAUACCGGAUAACAACAGAUGAUGCCUAUCAACUGUUUAAAAGAUGGUUCUGCUAUCACUCUUGGAUGGACCUGCGGUGCAUUAGCUAGUUGGUAGGGUAACGGCCUACCAAGGCGAUGAUGCAUAGCCGAGUUGAGAGACUGAUCGGCCACAUUGGGACUGAGACACGGCCCAAACUCCUACGGGAGGCAGCAGUAGGGAAUCUUCCACAAUGGACGCAAGUCUGAUGGAGCAACGCCGCGUGAGUGAAGAAGGGUUUCGGCUCGUAAAGCUCUGUUGUUGGUGAAGAAGGACAGGGGUAGUAACUGACCUUUGUUUGACGGUAAUCAAUUAGAAAGUCACGGCUAACUACGUGCCAGCAGCCGCGGUAAUACGUAGGUGGCAAGCGUUGUCCGGAUUUAUUGGGCGUAAAGCGAGUGCAGGCGGCUCGAUAAGUCUGAUGUGAAAGCCUUCGGCUCAACCGGAGAAUUGCAUCAGAAACUGUCGAGCUUGAGUACAGAAGAGGAGAGUG
rnacentral:rRNA from 1 species